CGCAUGAGCAACAAGAUGAAAAUCAUCCUGUAGUCAACACAACACACAACAGACUUCUGUUAGGGACAUUUAAUUCGGACAAAGAGGGACAAGGACCCCAACCGAUCAUGUUUCCGCAUACAAGAUUUCUGGCAACACAUGGGCAUCCAAAGCCUACAAGACCAGAUGGAAAUGUAAGGUCGAACGUCCAAGUAACUUUUGUUGUCUAUCUCGCGCACAACAACACGAGACAAAAAAGGGACCAUAGGACUGAAUGAUUCCAUCAAAAUAGGUACGUCGCACAGGGGGCCAAGCCAUCCAAAGACAAAUUAUUUUCAUCUCGGACAGAACUGAACAUGCAUGAACCAAUGGUUGUCGCUGCCAAGGCAGGGAUCCAACCGACCGGAACAUACC
rnacentral:misc_RNA from 1 species